GCCCCUGGCUAUUUCCUGCAGAGGGUCUGCUCUCAGUGGCCAAAGGAGGGCGCUGGAGAACGGACCUGAGCAGACAGGCAGGAGCUCCUGUGCAGGUCCUCCCAGGCACCACCCCUUCUGGAAGGAAGGCAUGGGAGUCCCCUAAGACAGAUCCUCAGUCACUUCUCUUUGCCUGCUCCUUCUACUGUCUUCUAUGCUAGGGAUCACUUCCUUGUUGAGUGGCACCUGAAUUUUGAGAGGUUCCUCUGCUCCUCUUCAUCUGACCCCUUUCCUUCCAAGGCCCCACAGAGGAAGGCAUGCGGUGGGCCCUAGCCCUGCUUCUAGCUCUCCUGUCUCCUGCCAGUCAGAAAUCUUCCAACUUGGAAGGGAAGAUGAAGACAAUCACCGGGCCGGCUGGGUCACCUGCAGAAAUCACCUGUGAUCUUCCUGGAGUCAGUACCUUAUACAUCCACUGGUACCUACAGCAGGAGGGGAAGGCCCCACAGCGUCUUCUGUACUAUGAACCCUACUACUUCACGGUUGUGUUGGAAUCAGGAAUCAGUCCAGGAAAGUAUGAUACUGCAAGGACAAGGAAGAGCUGGAAUUUGAGACUGCAAAAUCCAAUUGAAAAUGAUUCUGGGGUCUAUUACUGUGCCACCUGGGACAGGCACCAUGAUUCAGACCUGCCCUACACCACACUAAAAAUCUGCCUGUGGUUGCUUCUGGUAAGAUAGACCAGCCAACUCUUAUUUCCUGCCCUGAAUUUACUGUAUUCUGUACAAAGAGAAACACAGCUUAACUCCUGAUCUCCCCACUAAUAUCACACUCCCCUGGGCAGCAGCUGCACCCUGUUCCCCACUCUCCCCCAGGACUUUCCCGAAGACCAAGCUGCCAUGUUCAGGCCUCAGCUCAGCAGCCUGGCUGACAGCAAGCUUCUCUCAGCUCUCCCAGGACGUGGGGGAGGCCCACUCACUCUGCUUCCUAGGACAGACAGGUACACCUAGAGUCCAGCUGUGAAGCAAGAUAUUUUGGAUAGCAAAUGGGAAGGGUAUUUAUACUAAAUCAUGUAUCCAAUCAUGGUCCAGAGAUCACAGCUGAGCGUGGCGCUUAUUCCUUAUGUCCAUAACAAUAUACGCAAUACUAUAAUGAUCACCAAAACACUAGGCCUAGAUAUGCAGUUGAACAUUCUCGCCCUCUGCCCUCCCUUUUAUCCUCAUCCUCCUUUCUUACUUCCAUGCUUGCUUUUAUUAUUUUUCUCUCCCUCCCUCCCUUCUUCCUGUCCUUCCAUCUUCCCUCCCUCCCCCAUUCUUCCUUCCUUCCAUCCAUUCUCCGUUUCUUUCCUUCCUUCCUUCCUUCCUUGCUUUUCUCUCUCUUUCCUUCCUUUUUGGGUACAUAAUCAGAUAACUUUUUCCACAAAAUCAUUUGAAAUAAUUUUCCUCUAUUUGUUUAUGCCAACAUUGAUACAGCUACUUUAAAUGUUCAGUCUUCAUUUUUAUAUCUUGGAAAUUUGCUGUGUUACUUUGUUUUGUUUCAUAUUUGUUUUGUAUAUAUAAAACAUUUACAUGGAACUGAAGUCAAAAUUAUAGAAGAUGCAUUUGAAGAUUUUAGCAUCCAUUGUAGAGUUCUCGUUCCUCUUUUCUCCCUCACCCUAUAGGUAAAAAUAUUUGUAUCAGUUUUCUUGAACUUUUUAACUUUGUUUGUCAUAGCGCAGUAUGUAUCAAUUCUAUUUAAAUGACAUAUUUAUAUUUUUGUUCCUAUAUUUGGUUUUUAAAAUUUUAAUCAGUCUCUUAUUUUCGCGUGUCUGGAUUUGGUGUCUGACUUCUAAAGGUGCACAUACUUCAUAAGUAUGCGUAAAGAAAUCCGUAUCUUGUAUUUGAA